ACGUAGGGUGCGAGCGUUAAUCGGAAUUACUGGGCGUAAAGCGUGCGCAGGCGGUUCGCUAAGACAGGUGUGAAAUCCCCGGGCUUAACCUCGGAAUAGCAUUUGAGACUGGCGGACUAGAGUACGGUAGAGGGGGGUGGAAUUUCAGGUGUAGCAGUGAAAUGCGUAGAGAUGUGAAGGAACACCGGUGGCGAAGGCAGCCCCCUGGGCAGAUACUGACGCUCA
rnacentral:rRNA from 1 species